rnacentral:rRNA from 1 species
UACGAAGGGUGCAAGCGUUAAUCGGAAUUACUGGGCGUAAAGGGUGCGUAGGCGGUUCGUUAAGUCUGUCGUGAAAUCCCCGGGCUCAACCUGGGAAUGGCGAUGGAUACUGGCGAGCUAGAGUGUGUCAGAGGAUGGUGGAAUUCCCGGUGUAGCGGUGAAAUGCGUAGAGAUCGGGAGGAACAUCAGUGGCGAAGGCGGCCAUCUGGGACAACACUGACGCUGAAGCACGAAAGCGUGGGGAGCAAACCGG